GAUGAACGCUAGCGGCAGGCCUAACACAUGCAAGUCGAGGGGCAUCGCGGUGCAGCAAUGCACUGGCGGCGACCGGCGUACGGGUGUGUAACGCGUAUGCAACCUGCCCCGCACCGGGGGAUAGCCCGCCGAAAGGCGGAUUAAUACCCCAUGGUCCCGGGGGCCCGCAUGGGCAUCCGGGUAAAGCCUUGGCGGUGCGGGAUGGGCAUGCGUGCCAUUAGCUGGCUGGUGGGGUAACGGCCCACCAGGGCAACGAUGGCUAGGGGGUCUGAGAGGAUGGUCCCCCACACUGGUACUGAGACACGGACCAGACUCCUACGGGAGGCAGCAGUGAGGAAUAUUGGUCAAUGGGCGGAAGCCUGAACCAGCCAUGCCGCGUGCGGGAUGAAGGCCCUACGGGUUGUAAACCGCUUUUCCCCGGGAAGAAUAACCCCGAUGAGUCGGGGGAUGCCGGUACCGGGGAAUAAGGAUCGGCUAACUCCGUG
rnacentral:rRNA from 1 species